rnacentral:tRNA from 1 species
GGAGAGAUGGCUGAGUGGUUGAUAGCUCUGGUCUUGAAAACCGGUAUAGUUCUAAAACAAAAAACUAUCGAGGGUUCGAAUCCCUCUCUCUCCU